GGGCGGGUAGCUCAGUUGGCUAGAGCAAUCGCCUUACACGCGAUGGGUCGUGGGUUCGAGUCCCUCUCCGCCCA
rnacentral:tRNA from 1 species